CAACGACUCUCGGCAACGGAUAUCCCGGCUCUCGCAUCGAUGAAGAACGUAGCGAAAUGCGAUACUUGGUGUGAAUUGCAGAAUCCCGUGAACCAUCGAGUCUUUGAACGCAAGUUGCGCCUGAGGCCAUCAGGCUAAGGGCACGUCUGCCUGGGUGUCACGC
rnacentral:rRNA from 1 species